ACGCUCUAUACCAAAAACCUGAGACAAAAAAAAUGCUACAAAAAAGAACAGCAUGUAUUUUCUCUGUUUAAAUGAUGUUCGCAAACAUAUUUCAACUCUCAUAACAGCAGAGAUUUCGUCUAUUAUUGUCAAAUCAUAAGCCAAAAUUUUCACUUAAAGUUUUCUGACAAUUAUUAUGCAAGUCAUCAAGGAGACAAUACAAAAACAAGCUUGUCAACAGCUUGAAAAAAAUGACAAUUAUACUGGUAGUGACGUGACUUUUCCAAGAGUAAAGCAACGAUUUUUGCUUCAUAUGCAAAACAUCAUCAGAAUGUUUUUGUUGUUCUGUUCUUUGACGUUAUUCUGUUCCCUUUUGCCACAAACCACUAUUGAUACUAGUCUCAUGGCUUCAAUUGAAUUAAGCACAAAUGAAAAAGAGACGUGGUUGAAAGCACUCUUUUCACUCUUAAAGCUUAUUUCAUUAUUAUGACACACUUUCUGGAAAUCACCUACAAAAGAGUGAUUUCUUGUGGAAUUUUUCAGUUGAAAUUCAAUAAUGUCAUAUGUUGGGUUGUUGUCUAAAUAAAUGAUGAAAAA